AUUGAACGCUGGCGGCAGGCCUAACACAUGCAAGUCGAGCGGUAGCACAGAGAGCUUGCUCUCGGGUGACGAGCGGCGGACGGGUGAGUAAUGUCUGGGAAACUGCCUGAUGGAGGGGGAUAACUACUGGAAACGGUAGCUAAUACCGCAUAACGUCGCAAGACCAAAGAGGGGGACCUUCGGGCCUCUUGCCAUCAGAUGUGCCCAGAUGGGAUUAGCUAGUAGGUGGGGUAACGGCUCACCUAGGCGACGAUCCCUAGCUGGUCUGAGAGGAUGACCAGCCACACUGGAACUGAGACACGGUCCAGACUCCUACGGGAGGCAGCAGUGGGGAAUAUUGCACAAUGGGCGCAAGCCUGAUGCAGCCAUGCCGCGUGUAUGAAGAAGGCCUUCGGGUUGUAAAGUACUUUCAGCGGGGAGGAAGGCGAUAAGGUUAAUAACCUUGUCGAUUGACGUUACCCGCAGAAGAAGCACCGGCUAACUCCGUGCCAGCAGCCGCCGUAA
rnacentral:rRNA from 1 species